rnacentral:misc_RNA from 1 species
AAAGUCGUAACAAGGUUUCCGUAGGUGAACCUGCGGAAGGAUCAUUAACAAUUUUUACUUGACUUUAGAAUCCGAUUCGUUGGAGACUCUAGUCAUUUUACACACUUGUGAACUGUACUGUCGCUUCUGUCGUAGUGUUCGCACGAAAGCAGUGAGCAAUGUCUUUUCGGACUUUUGUGCUUUGGCGCACUAGAAAGAUAUGGACAAUAAAACCCCUCACCUUUGGUGAAUUGUUGUAAAUAGUGUUGGUCUUGGGAUAAUGCGACAAAUAUAACUUUUAACAAUGGAUCUCUAGGCUCUU